rnacentral:rRNA from 1 species
CCUACGGGUGGCAGCAGUGGGGAAUAUUGGACAAUGGGCGAAAGCCUGAUCCAGCCAUGCCGCGUGUGUGAAGAAGGCCUUCGGGUUGUAAAGCACUUUCAGUGGGGAAGAAAGCCUUGGGGCUAAUACCCUCGAGGAAGGACAUCACCCACAGAAGAAGCACCGGCUACUCCGUGCCAGCAGCCGCGGUAAUACGGAGGGUGCGAGCGUUAAUCGGAAUUACUGGGCGUAAAGCGCGCGUAGGCGGUCUGAUAAGCCGGUUGUGAAAGCCCCGGGCUCAACCUGGGAACGGCAUCCGGAACUGUCAGGCUAGAGUGCAGGAGAGGAAGGUAGAAUUCCCGGUGUAGCGGUGAAAUGCGUAGAGAUCGGGAGGAAUACCAGUGGCGAAGGCGGCCUUCUGGACUGACACUGACGCUGAGGUGCGAAAGCGUGGGUAGCAAACAGGAUUAGAUACCCUAGUAGUC